rnacentral:rRNA from 1 species
GUUGGUGGAGUGAUUUGUCUGCUUAAUUGCGUUAACGAACGAGACUUCCGCGUGCUAAAUAGUUCUGCGUAUUAUUUUGAUAUGUUUUGGACUUCUUAGACGGACUUUUGGUGAUUAACUAAAGGAAGCUGGAGGCAAUAACAGGU